GUGGGGAAUCUUGCGCAAUGGGCGAAAGCCUGACGCAGCCAUGCCGCGUGGAUGAUGAAGGUCUUAGGAUUGUAAAAUCCUUUCACCGGUGAAGAUAAUGACUGUAGCCGGAGAAGAAGCCCCGGCUCACUUCGUGCCAGCAGCCGCGGUAAUACGAAGGGGGCUAGCGUUGCUCGGAUUUACUGGGCGUAAAGGGCGCGUAGGCGGACAUUUAAGUCAGGGGUGAAAUCCCGGGGCUCAACCUCGGGACUGCCUUUGAUACUGGGUGUCUUGAGUAUGAGAGAGGUGUGUGGAACGCCGAGUGUAGAGGUAAAAUUCGUAGAUAGUCGGAAGAACACCAGUGGCGAAGGCGACACACUGGCUCAUUACUGACGCUGAGGCGCGAAAGCGUGGGGAGCAAACAGGAUUAGAAACCCGAGUAGUCC
rnacentral:rRNA from 1 species